CUGGGAAUGACCCGGGAGGCAGCAUGAAGGCCUGGACUAGGAAAGUGUAGGGAGGCAGGGGCGGAGCUGAUUAAGGAAUUAUUUAGGAGGUAGAAUUCAAGGGACUCAGUGGUUGUUUUUUUAGCAUAGAGAUUUCUGGUGUGCAAUAUGAUGCUUUGAUCUAUAUCUACAUAGUGAAAUGAUUACUACAGUCAUGCAAAUUAGCAUAUCCAUCACCUACCAUCCUUAGCUUUUUAUGUUGUUGUAAGAGACCCUAAAAUCUACUCUCUGAGCAGAUUUUCAGUAUAGCAUCCAAUAACACUAACUGUAGUCCUCAUGCUGCUCAUUGGCUCUCCAGAGCUAUUAAUCCUGCAUAACGGCAAGUUUGCCUCCUUUGACCUACCCCUCCCCAUUUCCUCUCCUAGUAAGCUCGGUGGCUGUUUUGAACUGAGAUAGUCUUGCUGUUCCUUUUACAUCCUUGCAUCCACUCCCUUUCUAUUAUAUAUUUCUUUCCUGUUUGAAUGUGGGGACACACUGGCUACUGCAAAUGUUGAAUUGGCUCUUGUUUUCUGGUGCAUUCUUGCUGGCCACAGAAGAUGCUGAUCUAGGCUGAUACCUGGCAAACCCUACCUUGUCCUGCCCCUGACACUGCAGAUCUGAGGACGCGCUGGGGGAGCCGAGCAUCCAG
rnacentral:lncRNA from 10 species